rnacentral:lncRNA from 10 species
UGAAAGGCCUGGAUUUUACUCUCCCCUGAGACCUUGAGGAUUUACUAAGGACCUGUAUUUCCAAAACUUCUACAGCAGCUGCCAGAACCAUCGCUGCUCCUGACCCCUUCUUCCAUCCAGAUAAUCAGGCAGGCAGAGCGCUAGCAACACAUGGCACAGGAGUUAGAGCCUGGCUUUUUCCUUGGAAGGGUGGUGCACUUCCUAGAGUGGGUAGGUCAAAUAGUGAAGAAAGACCUACCUGGCACUGGAUGCUGGGGUGUCAGAGGGCUUAUGUAUACAGCACCUUUGACAUAACUAACUCCAUCUUAGAAAAGACUCCAUUUCAUUUUUUUCUCAGGGCAUUUUGCCAACAAGGAUAAGAUGUUUUGUUUAAUAAACAAAUAAAAACUAAAGACUGCAUCCAACCACAUAAGGACACAGCAAGCACACUCUUCCUCUAGCAGUCCUUACCAGAAGACUCUGUGUCCAUCAAAGUCAGGCCUGCAGUGGCCUGGAACGGCCAUCCUAACUGACACCAUCUUCCGAUCACCCACGAUGACAGUGCGGGCAUCUGCCUUGGAAGACUCUGCCCUCUUUCUUGCGAGACCGAUGGACCAUCAGGCCCAGGCCAGGACUCUUGUGGUCUUCUUCACUACCCCUGGACUGCUUCAUUAACUCUUUCUCCUAUUUCUUUUUCCUCUGAUGUUAAAUGUUACUUUGUUUAUUGUGGAAUGUUUAACCUAUAACAUUUAUAUAUUGAUUAAGUAUACUGUGAUGUAUGGUUUGCAGUAUUGACGGACCUGUGAAGUGGCUUGAGCCUGUGUGCCCACAGCUCUGAAUCCCAAGUGAGCGGGACCUGCUAAGGAGAAUGCCUCCUUGGGAACUCCAUGUAACCUGUGGCUUUUGUGAUUAAAAUAGCAUCAAUAAAAG